GUCAGAGGUGAAAUUCUAGGAUUUACUAAAGACUGACCAAUGCGAAAGCAUUUGCCAAGGAUGUUUUCAUUAAUCAAGAACGAAAGUAGGGGGAUCGAAGACGAUCAGAUACCGUCGUAGUCUCUACCGUAAACUAUGCCGACCAGGGAUCCGGAGAGUUUGCAUGGAUGACUCCCCGGGCACCUUGUGAGAAAUCAUAAGUGUUUGGGUUUUGGGGGGAGUAUGGUCGCAAGGCUGAAACUUAAAGGAAUUGACGGAAGGGCACCACCAGGAGUGGAACCUGCGGCUUAAUUUGACUCAACACGGGGAAACUUACGAGGUCAGGACACUGUGAGGAUUGACAGAUUGAAAGCUCUUUCUUGAUUCAGUGGGUGGUGGUGCAUGGCCGUUCUUA
rnacentral:rRNA from 1 species